rnacentral:tRNA from 1 species
AAAGAAUUAGUUAAAUAAAUAACAUAAAUAUGUCAAUUUUAAAUUAUUAAUAAAUAAUAUUCUUUU